GAUGAACGCUGGCGGCGUGCCUAAUACAUGCAAGUCGAGCGAACAGACGAGGAGCUUGCUCCUCUGACGUUAGCGGCGGACGGGUGAGUAACACGUGGAUAACCUACCUAUAAGACUGGGAUAACUUCGGGAAACCGGAGCUAAUACCGGAUAAUAUAUUGAACCGCAUGGUUCAAUAGUGAAAGACGGUUUUGCUGUCACUUAUAGAUGGAUCCGCGCCGCAUUAGCUAGUUGGUAAGGUAACGGCUUACCAAGGCAACGAUGCGUAGCCGACCUGAGAGGGUGAUCGGCCACACUGGAACUGAGACACGGUCCAGACUCCUACGGGAGGCAGCAGUAGGGAAUCUUCCGCACUGGGCGAAAGCCUGACGGAGCAACGCCGCGUGAGUGAUGAAGGUCUUCGGAUCGUAAAACUCUGUUAUUAGGGAAGAACAAAUGUGUAAGUAACUAUGCACGUCUUGACGGUACCUAAUCAGAAAGCCACGGCUAACUACGU
rnacentral:rRNA from 1 species